GGCUCGGUAGCUCAGUUGGUAGAGCAGCGGACUGAAAAUCCGUGUGUCGGCGGUUCAAUUCCGUCCCGAGCCA
rnacentral:tRNA from 1 species